UGCAGGACAAUGUAUCAAAUGUCAACAAGAUGAUAUAGAUAUCCAAGAAAAUAUCAACAUCAGUGAGGCAAAAGAAAAGAAUGGGGAGCAAGAGGUUACGUUAAAGAAAAUGAAGAAAAAAUAGACUGUCUCAAGAUUCAACUAUUAAAGUUCUCACUCGGGAAAAUGUCAAGCAAUACUGUAUAGUGCUAUAGAGGGAAGCAAUCAAAAUAGGAGGAUCAGUGAAGCAAAAGGCAAGAAUGUAGAGCAAGAGGAUAAGUCCUUGAAAGAAAUGAAGAAGAAACAGGACUUUCUCAAGAUACAACUGCUACAGGCUGACAGCACCAGCCCCCUGUACACCAGCAUCGGUAUCCGCAGAAGAGCUCCUGGAGUCCCCAUAAUCCUGCAAGUCGGCCCAAGCCACUCUACAAGAGGGAGAAACUCUCCGAGCCCACAGCGAACGCUCGGAGACAGGGCAUUGGUCAUCAUAGUUAUUACAUCCUCCCAGGAGAAACCACAGCAGAGCCCCGAGUGGAUGAGCAAAACCACGCAUAGCAUGAUCCUGCACUACUGCAGCCUCAGUGACAGGGGGCACUGGACCACACAUUGCGAUACAAUCGGAAUACACCUUAAUUGGAGACGGGGCAUGAAGGGGCCUCAGUAGCAGGGGGCGG